rnacentral:tRNA from 1 species
AGGUUGUAAUCAACUAAUGAUAUCUGAUUUGCACUCAGAAAGUACUCCUCAUGAGUCAUCCUUAC